CCUGUUUAACAAAAACAUGUCUUCAUGAUAAUAUUUUGAAGUCUUGCCUGCUCACUGAUAUAAAUUUAAAGAGCCGCGGUAUUAUGACCGUGCAAAGGUAGCAUAAUCAUUAGUUUCUUAAUUGGAGACUUGAAUGAAUGGUUUGACGAGAAAUUGACUGUCUCUUAAUAAAUUUUGGAAUUUAACUUUUAAGUCAAAAGGCUUAAAUAUUUCUUUAGGACGAGAAGACCCUAUAGAGCUUUACAUUUAUAAAUUGAUUUAUAUAUAUAGUUGAUUUUUUAUAUUAAUUUUUAUUGUUUAGUUGGGGUGACAUGAAGAAUGACUAAACUCUUCAUUAUAAAAUCAUUAAUUUAUGUUUAUUUGAUCCAUAAUUUGUGAUUAUAAGAUUAAGUUACCUUAGGGAUAACAGCGUAAUUAUUUUUGAGAGUUCUUAUCGAUAAAGUGGAUUGCGACCUCGAUGUUGGAUUAAGAUUAAUUAUGGGUGUAGUAGCUUAAUAAUUAGGUCUGUUCGACCUU
rnacentral:rRNA from 1 species